rnacentral:rRNA from 1 species
AUGAUCGGCAAAUGUUUUAGGGAGGAAAUAGGCGCAUAUGGCUGUAGUAAUACAGUAAUAGCAUUACCACCAAGUGCUAUCCUGCAAAACGCAAUGUGCCCACAUGCGCAUGAGCUUGGAUGGAUGUCUUUUUGGGUGUGUCAUUCAUGCCUAUGGUCACUGCUGCUGUCAUCAACACACUUGUCUUCAUCAUUGGAAUGCUUGGUGUCAUUCUUGAUUGUGUACGAACCCGGCUUAUUAACUAGUCAACUCAAAAUAAGGACAGGGAAUACAGUGCUCGUAAAUCUCGUACGUAUCGAUCUUGUCAUGAGCAAUGAGUGUGGUCUUGUGACCUUAUCUUAUGAACAUGGGCAGCAACCUUAUAAGAAUGUGUAA